rnacentral:rRNA from 1 species
UACGGAGGGGGCUAGCGUUGUUCGGAAUUACUGGGCGUAAAGCGCGCGCAGGCGGUCUUCCAAGUCAGUGGUGAAAGCCCGGAGCUCAACUCCGGAACUGCCAUUGAAACUGUGAGACUGGAGUACGAGAGAGGUGAGUGGAAUUCCCAGUGUAGAGGUGAAAUUCGUAGAUAUUGGGAAGAACACCAGUGGCGAAGGCGGCUCACUGGCUCGUAACUGACGCUCAGGCGCGACAGCGUGGGGAUCAAACAGG